UCCCUUUUGGCUCAGAUGGUAAAGAAUCUGCCUGCAAUGCAGGAGACCCAGGUUCAAUCCCUGGGUCGAGAA
rnacentral:tRNA from 1 species